AUACGGAGGAUCCGAGCGUUAUCCGGAUUUAUUGGGUUUAAAGGGUGCGCGGGCGGCCAUUUAAGUCAGCGGUUAAAUCGUGGGGCUCAACCCCAUUCUGCCGUUGAUACUGGGUGGCUUGAUUGCGGUCGAGGUUGGCGGAAUUCGUUGUGUAGCGGUGAAAUGCAUAGAUAUGACGAAGAACACCGAUUGCGUAGGCAGCUGACCAGAUCGCAAAUGACGCUCAUGCACGAAAGUGCGGGGAUCGAACAGGAUUAGAUACCCUGGUAGUCCGCACAGUAAACGAUGAAUACUUGUUUUCGGCGAUAUAAUGUCGGAGGCAAAGCGAAAGCGAUAAGUAUUCCACCUGGGGAGUACGCCGGCAACGGUGAAACUCAAAUGAAUUGACGGGG
rnacentral:rRNA from 1 species